CCAUUUGCACUAUUUGAAUCGAGUGGAAGCUUUUUAAGCGAAUCGCAACCGCGAACUUCCAAUUCUUUCAGACGUGGGAGAGGCAAGGGUUUCCAGUAAAUGCUCUUCAAAUUGCGCAGUCGCUCUAACCGAAGACGCUGGAGUUUUGCUAAAGGGCUGCUUAUUAUUCCCGUCAUCUCAGGAAUGUCAUCAAACUCUCCAGCACUGAUUAUUUCUUCCAUGUGAUCGCAAUAGCGUACGGAAAUAGACUUGAGGUUUGGAGCAAAAACGAGGAAUGUCAAGUGUUUCAAAUUUCUGCAACUGUCUACGGUAACUUCCUCAAGGCUGCGGAAAACAUAAGGUUGGCGCGAUUUUUGUACCAUAUAUUUGUAGUCAAUCUUCAGUCCCUUAAUCCAAUCACAAGAACGAAAGUAUAAUGUAUUGAGCUGCUCUAGAUCUGCUAAAUGUGCAACAUCAAUCGACUCCUCCCUACCGAACUCAUCGAGCAAGAGAGCUUGGGUACAACGUCGUAACUUCUGUGAGCUCAAAAAUGUUUGGUAAGCCUUAAAACUCCUGAAGGUGAUCUCCAGUACCUCUAAAUAUUUCAAACCGAGCAAUUCCUCUGCUACAUUCUCAUACCUAGAGCUAAACGGUCUGUCAAAUGAUAAAAGACCAACACCAAUACCAAGCAUUCUCAACACACGUAACCUUGAAAAAUUAGAUAACAGUUGCUGUGGAACUUCAACUAACUUGGCUGCCCAGUCCAAAUUCAAACAUUUAAGAUUUACCAACGCUUUUAACUCUUCGGGUAACUCUGUAACGCUUGUAUUUGAAAUAUCAAGGAGUUGUAGUGAAACCAACUUUGAGAUCCCCAUUGGUAACUGCCGUAGCAUUAUAUUAUCUGACACCUUCAAAACUGUUAGACAAGGCAUAGAAUGGAAGAAGCCACCGGCGAUCGUCGUCAACUUAUUAUCGUUAAGAAACAAAGUAAGAAGACGAGGGCAUGUAGGAACAGUUGGUAGAUUUUUAAUUGAAUUUUUCAUCAAUGAUAAUCUUCUCACCAUUUCCCAUCCUCUGACAUCUGCAGGUGCCUCCGUUAAUCCGGAACCUGCAUAAACCAAAAAGCCCUCCUUCUCCUUCUCAAUCUCACAAGUUAUCCACAAUGCCAUAUCGCGGAUGACGUCAUGCAUUUUUACUUGAUCAUCUUCUACCUCUUCCAAUAAACAUGCAUGAACUAGAGUGGCCACGAUGUAGUAUCCUUGGUUUUGUGUGCCAAACUUGGCUUCAUCCAAAAACCCCUCGCAAAUCCAGCAAUCAAUCAAGUCUCUUUUAUAUAUACUGUAAUCUUCUGGAAAUAAACAACAAUAUAAGAAACAAGAUCUGAUUGCAUCGUUUGGCAAGCAAUCAUAGCUGAAUUUUAAAAGAGGAUAUACCUCCUUUUCCAAACCUGCAAAUUUGGAAGCUGAUCUUCUUAAAACUUCAAUCGCAUAUCUCCAUUCUUCAGGAGCCUUUUUGUAGGCCAUGGCUCGACCAAUAGUAAUAAGCGCGAGCGGCAAUCCAUCGCACUCCUUUGCCACAGUUUGAGCUAGUUCAGGAAUACUAUGAUGACUCUCAAUAGUUUCUUCCCCAACUUUCUCUCGAAAUAGCUCCCAAGCAUCCUCAUCGGAUAAGCAUGCCACUUUGAACUUCCUUCGAGCUUCCAUGCGGCCACAAACAUCAACGAAACGGGUUGUAAAUACCACUGCACUAUUUUUUGGGCUGUUACUACUACUAGGAAGAGGGACACCAAUCUUCUUUAGAUCAACCCGCUCCCAUAGAUCAUCCAACAACAAAGCAAACUUCUUCUUGCUUAAAGUCUUGAAGAUGUCCUGAGCUUUCUCUUCGAGACUUUUGUCCUUCCAUGAAUCAGUAUAUAGACCUAUCUUUUUCCCGAUAGUUUCCUGAAUUUUUUCAAGCUGCAGGUCGUUGGACACCACAACCCAAAUCACAUAAUCAAAAUCUGUUGGAUUAUCAACAAAUUUAUUAUUGAUUUGGGUUAACAGUGUAGUUUUACCGACGCCGCCCAUGCCGUAUAGGCCAAUUAUACCAGCUGCAGGUUCUUGUACAAGCCAUCUCCAAACUUGUUCAAGUUGUGAUUGCAAGCCUACCACCGUUGGCUCCGUAGGUCUUUCAUCUGCCCCAGAUAGUAAUUCUGGAGCUGCCACCUCUUCAAAAACUCCUUCCCCCCUUAAGGCCUUCACAUCUCGCAGCCUUUUAACAACUUUUCUACCAAACUUGUAGCUUGACUUGCAGUUCCUGGAGCAGUAGCCUCCAAGACACAAUUUGUCAAUUUCCUGAGAGCCACCAUCUCUUCCCAUGAGUUCAUCAACUUCAGUUUUAAGAGUCUCCACCCUCGAAAGCCAAUCCUGCACUUGGUUCAGCCUCUUCAUUUUGUGUUGGUUUUCAGCAUUGAGGACCCUCGUCAUCACAUCAUUCUUUGCAGCGAUUAGUUGUUCCAAUUCAGUCGUCAAGGCAACAACAUUAUCUUUGAGGUCAGUUAUAUAUGCAGCUUUGCCAAGAGCGCAGUCUGGGCAACGAUUGAACAUUGCGCCAACAUCGCAAGAGAUUUGCAAAAUGUUACCCAUAAUAAAUUUAGCUUAUUCUUGCAUUAUUCUCACUUGUAUUUAUGAAUUCAACCAAGAGAGAAACAAAGGAAUUUAGCUUCACCAGUUUGAUGAACAGAAGCUGCGGUCGCUGAUUAAUUGAGAUAGAACAUUAGUUAUUGAAUAAUGUAAUCAGCUCUUUUUGUACCCAACUUACUAAAAAAAGUAACAAAAAAGAAAAUUUGAAAGGUGGAAUGCAGCUGGCAAAGGAAAAAUCAAAGGCCAUGCUUCCCACAUCAAGAUGGUGGUGGUGGUACCAUCUUUGUGUUUCCUUGACCUUAUCCAAUAUUCAUCAUUUUUGGUCCCACAUCAUGCACGUGCUUGACAGUUAUUUCGAUUUUAUCUCUUUUUAUUCCCCCUUUCAGAUCAGCAUUUUUGUCUUGAUUCUUGAAUAGUUGAAUAUGUAUGUGUGUGGGGGCAUAUAAUAUAUAGUACUUAGAUUUUGUUUAAUUUUCUAUUGUUAACUUGAUUAUUUGUGGCAUUAAUUUAAUAUGAUUUACAUCUUUUUGGUUGUAGUGUUGAUGAGGUUCCUUUAUAUGAUGACCCAAUAUAUAUAUAUAUAUAUAUAUAUAUAUAUAUAUAUAUUUUGUUGUCUUCAUUUGUUUAAUUAUGAGAAAAAUAAAAUAGUAAUAAGAUUGGUCAAUUUGGGUAAACAAUUAAUGAACUAAUGUAGUAUAUCUCAUCUCACUCCCCUAGCAUAUCAUAAAUUUCCAAAAUUUGUCUUCAAUCGAUUAAACAUAAAUGCUGAUCUGUUCAGGAUGAUAUUCUGAGUCCCAUUUUCAUUUUCAUUUACUGAAAAUAAGUUGAACAACUGUUCGUUAUAAUGUUUUAAUAAAAUGAAUUAUGAAAUAAAAAAUUGAGAUUUUACUUUUGUUUACUCAAAAAGUUGAGAUUUUUAUGGUUUUAUUGAAUUUCAAGAAUGGAAGCCAUUCUCUCAUCUUUAUCUUAGUUUAGCGUCCAUGGUAAUUAAAAUGGUUUUUGUAUCAAAUUGAUAAGAUUGAAACAUCUAAUGCUGCAAUGGCUUUUGUGAUUAUUUUAAAUUUGAAGUUUAAAUUUGAUAAAACUAAUAAUUUUAUUGAGCAGAAGAUGAGUGGAAGGACUUUUUCUUUUACUUUUAGCCGAACAAAAAGAUAAAAUAAAAUGUUCAAGGACUUAUAAAAACAAAUGUCGUCAUAUUUUGCUUGUACCAAUGAAACAGUAGUUGUGAACAAGGAUUAAAAUAAUAUUUUCAAAUGAGAUUUUUCUCUAUACUUUAUCAUACCUUUUAUUUGAAUAUCUUUUUUUCGUAUAUAAGUUUAUGAUUUCAUUUAUCAGAUGCUCUAUAAUAUAUUUCAUUUACUGAAAUUUUUUAUUAUUAAAUGUAAUGAACAAUUAAAUUUUUUAUAAGUGUUUACUGUGUGAUACCAAAAAAUAAAUAAACUCUAUAUAAUCCAUUGACAUAAAUAUAAACUAUAUGUUUAAGUAAAAAAAAAAAAGUUUCAAUCCAAUGCUACCGAACAAGUAUUACAGUUUUUAUAUUUAAAAUAUAAGUUUCAAAAACUCAUACCGAACACAUACUUAUAUUUAGAAUACUGGUUUCAAAAACAUCAUUUUUAUUUUUGUUUUUGUUCUAUAAAAACAUCAAUUUACAAUAAUAAAGACAAAGAAUUGAAAAUUUUAAUAAGAAUUAAUCUAACUACUCUCUUUAAAAGGAAAAAAAAAAGAAAAGAAAAUUAAAUUAAUAUAAUAUUAAAUUUAUAACCUCAACUCAAUGGUCAUAUCAAGAACAUAUUUAAUUAUUUUAUUUUUAAUCUACAAUUGAGAUGUCAAGCCCUGGAGUUAAAGCGGUUGUUAUCAUUUUGUUUUCUGAUUUAAUUUCCAUUUUAAAAAUAAUUUUAUAUCCCGUGAGCAAUGCAACGAAUGAUUUGCGAGUUUGGAGGAGUCCAUGCAUAUGGGGCCCACUGGUUGUUUGAUGAUUGAUUAUGUCACAUGAUUCCUGCCACAUACGAUUAUUAUCCACCCUUUAUCUCCUUUUUUUUUUUCUUUAAUACAUAAUCCCCAUUACUCAUUUCGCUUUCAAUUUCAUAUCGAUGCCGCCACUUCACUUUAUCUCUUUUUGUUUUGUUUUUCUUUUAAAUAAUCAGCAUUUUAAUUUUAUAAUUUCUAAUAUAUAACUAAUACUUGAGAGAGUAAUCAUAAUCAUAGUCAAUAUUUUUGGUGAGGAAGAUGUCAAGUAAUAUGACACUUCUCAUGUUCCGUUAACAUUUCAAUUAUAUUAUUAAUUAUCAUCUUAAUUUAGAUAGUAUUAUUUAUUUACGAGAACAUAUCAAUUAUGAAAUUUUUAAUUUUAAAAAUUAAAGAAAUGAUUGAACUGAUUUUUUUCUUAUUAAUUGAUAGCUUAGAUGCAUUUUAUUACAUGUUAAAUAAUUAUGAAUACAUAUCCUUUUUGGUAAUUUAAUUACAUAAAAGUACUUUUAAUUUUACACAAUCAAACCGUUUAAUGGUUCAAAAGUAUUUUUUUAAUUGACAACCAAACACCCAAUUACUUUUUAUCCAAAAGCUCUAUUGGUAUAAGAUCUACUUCUAUAAGAGCUACUGCUAUAAGCUCUAUUUAAUAAGUUGUACAAAACGGAGCCUUACACGAUUGAUUUAUCUAUUUUUUAUUUUACAUUUUUUUUACUCUUCCUCAUGUUAUUGUCCCUUUCUUUUUCUUUUCUUUUUCCUUAGCAGCAAUGUUCCCAAAUUUAAUCGAGAAACAAAGCUAUAAAUGAUAGAACUUAUUAGUUUGAUAAUUAACAAACUCGCAACAGAUAGUACUCAAUUUCAUCCCUAAAUGAAUGCAACACGACUGUGGGCAUAAUACGUCGAGACUUGGGAAAACGUGGCCCUAAGGCAUUUUCAGAAAGAUUAGGGGAUUAACUUAAAUUUAAUUCUUUUAAAAUGUGAAGUUUACGUUUUGCACCCUUUGAAUUUACAGUUUCUUAUUUAUGGCAUCUCAAUUUGGCUUCUCUCGAAUAUGGUCCACGUUAAACCAAAAUUAUAAUUGCACCACUAAAUAUGAAAGUACUGAAAACCUAUUUGAAGUGGAAAGUUAGCGAGUUUCUAUAUUUUUUAAGGAUAUAUUUUAAGUAUGAUAAUCGGCCACCACAUAUUACAUUCAUGUAUGAUAAUCGGCCACCACAUAACUUACCCAAUAUUCAUCAUUUUUGGUCCCACACCAUGUGCUCGACAGUUGUUUCGAUUUUAUCUCUUUUUAUUCCCCCCUUUCUUUCUUUCGUUCUUUAUUUCAGAUCAGCAUUUUUGUCUUGAUUCUUGAAUAGUUGAAUAUGUAUGUGUGUGGGGGCAUAUAAUAUAGGAAAAUGCUACUUUCCCCGGGUCAAAUCCCGGGUCAAACCCCGAAUUAAAUAAAAACGACGCCGUUUUAGUUUCUUUUUUUUGCUUCCAUGAAACGCAGUCGUUCAGCCUAGUGAAAACAGAAAAAACGCAGCUGCUUUUCUUUCUCUUCCUCUUCCUCUUCGAUUCACCACACCCGAGCAAAAGCUUGAACAACAGCAGUGAUGUGUGUGUGUGUGUGUCAUUUUUCUCAUGCUUAUAGAAGGCAAUAAAGCUGCUGAUUCUGGACUAUUUUGGUGUCCACAAAAUCCGCUUUUGUGCUUCUAAUUAACUUGCUUUCUAUUAUUUAUAAUUCUUUCACUUUCUUUAAAGGUAAAUCUCACCUAGGUUUAUGCUUUUUCUUCUAAAUCUAAAGCCCUAUAAGUCCGUUUGCAGUUUGUAUUGGAGCUGUAAAAUGCAGAGCAAUUGCAGCACAAAUUGCAGACAAACAGAGCACAAAUUGCAGACCAAUUUAGCACGCAUUGCAGCACAAUUUGCAGAAGUCACUUGCACAGCAACUCAUCAAAAAAUGCAGAGCAAUUGAAAACAAAAUGCAGACAAAUCUGUACACAGUUUCUUCCGGACCAAAAUCUCAUUUUCAUCAUCAUUCAUCCUCAACACUGGGCACCCAAAUCAAGUGCGGAAAGGAAAAAUGAAUAUCAAUUGCAAUUUAACACACUUAUUUUCUUAACAUUUUACUUCAACCGAAAAUUAAAUAAAAUGGAAAUGACAAUAGCUAUCAAAAUUCAGCACUUGCAAAGCAAUUAAAUUCAGCACUUGCAGAGCAAUAAUAUUCAGCACUUGCACUAGAUCAGCCAAAUUGCAGCACUAAAGAUCGAAGACGUUUGGGUUUGCUUUUUCCUGGGUCAAACGGCAACGUUUGCUUUCGAUUGAUUGAAACGGCUGGUGAAACGAUGAGGAGAAUCGAAGAGGACAAGAAGAUGCAAACGAAGACAUUCGGUUUUGUUUGGCUGAAACGACUACGUUCCAUGGAAGCAAAAAGGACAAAAAAAAGAAGCCAAAACGGCGUCGUUUUGUUUAAUUCGGGGCGCGUUUCGGGGUUAAAAUUCGGGGUGAAUAGCAGCGCUCCAAAGGAAAUGCUUGUAAUGAUUUGAUUCCAGUUUGGCUGGUUAGGUUGUUUAUUUAUUUAUCAGUCAUUGUAGGAAUUUAUGAAUCAGGGGAACUCGUCUGUUGGAUUUUUUUAAGAACUGUGAAGUAUUAGCUGAUUUUUUACCAUAUUUUGGAAUUUUAUUUUGUCUUUGAGAUGAGGAAUAAAUUGAUACCGUUUCUAUUGACCUUUCAUAUGAAAACUACUUGAGCGCAUGAUAUAUAUCUGUUUUUGUUCAUUUCUGUAUUUUGUUGCUGUUGACUGAAGCUGGAUUUUCAUGCUCGUUUUUAUCAUUUAUUCUUUUGAAAUCGCGAAAUGAAUUCUCAAUAUUUUCAGGGGAAAUGCUUAUAAUUAGAGCGAAUUUAAACAUUGAUUGUGUACUGUAUACCUGCAAGGGGCAGUUUAUUUCCUUUGAUUUGAGUAAAAUAAAAUCUCCGUGAUGGUAGCACUUAUUUAAUCAAGCAGGACCUAAAAGAUGGAAAGGAGCGAUACAUAGACAAAAAAAAACACCCCUUAUGAAUUCCAUGGCACUUCUUCCAUUUUGUCACUCGGGGACUACUCAAGAAUUUCACAUUUCAGUUUCGUAAUUUAUAAUUAAAUAUAAAAGAAUUUUUUGAAAAUUUGAUGACAGUUGUUGAAAACAUUUACUAAUUAUAAAUGCGUUAAAAAUUAUUUGAUUCAUUUAGUAUCAUUAUUAGUGAUUUAAUUUUUCAUCUUGAUUUAAAAAAAAUUAAUUUUUUUUUAAUUUUAAAAAGCAAAAUAGAUAACUCUUGACUAAGCGACAGCCGAUGAAUUUUGUAUUAAUCUGGAAAAGUAUUACUACAUCUACGUGUCAUUUAAAGGUUCUUGUAAUUUGAGACGACUUGUCGUCUAUGAUUUAGACCGGACCGGUUCGCGCAAACUUCAAAGCUUUCGAGUAUUCACGGAGCGGCAAUCGCAAAAUCCCUCAAAAGAACACACACAAGGAAUGGAGACUGGGAAAGUAAAGGAGAAGGAGAAGGAGAAGGAGAAGGAGAAAGUGUGCAAGAGGUGUAAGCAAACGUACACAGCUUCAUCAAACAGCUCUUCUUCUUGCCGCUUUCACCCUUCCUUCUUCGUUUGCCGUCGUCACGACGACCAGAAAAGGUACCCUCCCCGCUCCCUCUUUUGAUAAUCAUUUCGCAUACCCUUUUCUUCGAUUUAUUUUAUUUUUUUCUCAUGUACCCUUGCGAUUCUUUUGCAUUUUUUUAUUGGAUGUUAUUAAUUAUUAUAAAAAAAAUUCUAAAAAAUAAAUAAAAUUCACGGCAGCUGGGAGUUGAACGAAACUCUGAGUCCAGUCCUGUUUGGUAGGAUUCUUUGAUUUACAAAGCAUCGAGUAAUCAGAUUCGCUGGGUAUUCAUUUUGUUUUGUUAUUUUUCCAUGUGUCAAUUUUCAUUUAAUUUGGGUUUGUUUAUUUUUGGAUGACUUAGAAAUCCUAAUGUACAACGGCAAUAAUUAGAUGCCGUUAAAUAAUUAUUCCAUUUGCCAGCUGGUUAAUUGUUUCAGGAGUUCAUGCUGAGACUUGUUUUACCACGCCAUCCGUACAAAAAUCUAAUGAAGUCCGGCCAUGUAUAUAUUUAUUUUUUAAAACUGCCGUACAAGUUGAUAAUUACAUUUAAUACAUGCAUCCAUAAUGUCUUCAUAUGGUUGUACAACAACUGGAGUACUAUUGCUGUUAUACAGAGGUGCUAAACUGCUAAUCUCAAAACGUCAUUUGCCACAAGCACCGCAACUACUGAUGGCAUAUCAUGUAUUACUUACAAAUCAACUGAUUUUGUAUUAAUCUUCUGUUUUUCUUAUAGUAUGAGUAUACCGUAGGUGGUACUAUUGUUUGCAUAUUGAAGAAAGCUCAUUUAUGGUAGGAUUUGUAAUUGUUUUGUGUGGCAAAAGCACCUCUUUGUUUGCCUUCAAAUAUCUGGGUUGACAGGGACAGAAUUUUAAGAAGUGGAACUGUUGAUAACAAAGCUAAAAGCUGAAAGUUUCUCAUUCUUGUUUCCUGGAUUUUUCAGUUCAUACCAAAUCUACUUUUUGAGGUUCAUUAUUCAUUUCCUUUAAUUCUUCGUCAUUGGGUUUCUACUGCAUUGUAAUGCUCCACACAAGGUUAGACUCCUUGCAAGGCACUUCUAUUCUAUGCUAGCUUUUCAUAUCACGCUUUUCAUAACAUGAGUUGGACUGAGCUCAGUCAGUUGAUGCUCCAUGUUUUUGAUUCAUUGAAGGUACUAUGAAUUGGGACCUGAUGAUCCACCGUAUGCUGCCAAGUUUUACGACUGCUGCGGGGCCGAGGAUGCUGAUGCCUCUGGUUGUACCACUGGCUUCCAUGUCUCUUAUGAUGAUGAUUAACAUAAUUUUUACCUCCUAAUCACCUGUAACUAUAGAUUAAAUUUGUAGAUAUCUCCGUGUCUCCUCCUGUGACCCACAUCAUUUCCACUGUUCUACCACUGUAUAAUUCAGGUCUUUCAUCAGUUUAUCUCUUCAUUUCUCAACAUUUUUCUUUUUUUUUUCCUGGGGUUGAUCUGGCAUGAAUUCGACAUGUGCUGCUAUGGCCAACUUUCGAGGGAUGAUGGUAAAUCUUAACCCUUUUGCAUAAACUUCUGGAAUUAGUUGGUCUAGGGAGUUUGAAGAGCAUAUACUGGAAGCCAUUGCCUUCCCACAUCUUAAGUAAAGAGUAAUGCUACUUUGGCAGAAAUAGGUUUACAAAAUUUUGACAUACUUAUGAAAUACUAAAUUACCUUUUAGUUUAUUUACAGAUAGCGAAUUGGGCUUUUUACAUAUUUUUGUAAAACUACUAGACAACUGAGCUAUAAUUAUCAAUUUUAUUUUGUAUUAGUAAAUAAUCAAAGAAUCAACCUAAACUUAUAUUCAGGAAAGAAAUAACUACAGAGGACAAAAAAUUAAUGAGGCGAUUGAAAAUUACGCCAAAAUUAAUAGUAAGGCAUUUGAGAUUGCAGUAGAACUUCUCAAUAAUCAUAUUAUUAGGAUCAAUUCAUUUUGUUACUAUAAGGAGGUUAAAACUUUGUAGAAGUUUAGUUCAAAAUUACUAUCUUGACUUCAUUAUUCUUAGUGUAAGUGAUUAGUAUUAAAAAUUGUUUAAUUAUCAAGCGAUAAUAUGUUAUUUUAUGCUUAUGUUAUAAUUUAUAUUUGUGUUUAUGUAAUAUAUUAUGAAUUAUUAAUUAUGUUUUAAAUAUAUUUAAUUUUGUGUAUUUUUAUGUGUUUAUUAGGAAAAUUAUUAAUUUCACGUACUUCGAGGCUCCAAACAGAUAAACGGAGGUCAAAUUUGGAUUCCGGAGGUCCGAAAACCUUAAGAUCAGUCAAGAUCGGCUUAAAAUUGGGCUUGUGUAAAAAAAGUUGACUUUUCCUGUUGACCGAGCACUGAUUGGAUGAUGAAAUGAGCUUACAAUAGAUAUGAGUGCAUGGGAUAACUGGCAAUCUUGACCAAAUCUCAACCGUUCAUGAUUCAAUGGCCAUGAUUGUGCCACGUGGCAAUGGUUGGUGAAGCAAGUUGGAGGAUCCGAAUCUUUGUAUUCGGGUCGACCCGAUCCACCCAUUAACCCGCCAAAUCUCAACCGUUCUUUGGGUAAAUCGGACGAGUCAAAUGAUGCCAUGUGUGAUGUUGACUUUUGAAGUUUGACCAGCCAUUGGAUCUUGAUCUAAGGGUUGUGAGGAGCACAUGCAUGAAGCCUAUGAUGGACCGCAAAGCACGGGAUUAUGAAUUUAUUUUUUCUAUAAAUAGGGCCUCAUUUUUAUGUUUUAAUCAUCUCUCUACAACUCUCUUCUUCUCAAAUUCUCUCCAUCUCCUUGUAAUCUUGAUUUCCAGGUGUGUUUUUAAUAUUUUGUAUAAUUAUUUUCAUUAAUAAAAUUAGUUUUAUUUUCAAUUUUAGUUGUUUUUAUUUCUUUUAAUUAUAAGUAAUUCAAUUUUACUACUUCUUUUUAUUUUAAUUAUGCUUAACUAAAUAAUAUUAGUUAGGGGAAGGUGAAACUCUUAAGAAAUAAAUAUGAUUUAAUCAAAUUCUAUGUUUAAUUUUAUAAAUUAAAUUAUUUUCUAUUUAAUUUUAUACAUGUUUUAUAUUUUGAAAAUUUGAUUUAUUGUAGACAAAUAAAUGAAUUUGGCACAAUAAAUUCUUAAGAUCUUAAUAUAAGGCAUGGUGAAAUGGUAUUUUGACUUAUUGUAGACAAAUUAAAUUUUGGCACAAUAAAUACUUAAUCCAUCAUAAAAUUAAAGGGAAAAUAAUAAUAAUUUGUAUAAUUAAUCUUUUGAGUAAUAAAUCUAAAACAAAUUGGCAAAAAGAAUUUAUUAAGUUUUAUUUGUUUCUAAGAGUGGAUCCAUAACCCUAACUAGUUCAAUUCCAUAGUUUCAUUUAAAUUAAGUUGUUUAUAUUCAAGUUUUAAUUUCAAUUUUUAGAUCAAAUAAAAUAAAUUAAUUAAAUCUUUUCUCUGUGGAUCGACCUCGGACUCACCGAGUUAUAAUACAACAAGACACUCUUAUACUUGGGAGUUAAAAUUUACUUUUAAGUUGUGUCAGUAAGUAAGAUAAUUAAUAAUUAAUUCAUGGAACAUGUCAAUUCUAUGAAGCUUCAAACAUGCUUGAAUACUUAAAAAUAUUUUGUCUUCAACAAGAAGGUGUUUAUAUUAUCGAAUUAUUUUUGCAAUAUACAAAUAAUUAUUAUUAUGUGGAGGCAAUUUCAAAGAUGUGAUAACAAUUUUAAAGAAUAAAUCAUUAUCUCAAACAACUUUAAAAAAUAUAUUUUUUUAUACUAAAUCUUUUAAAGUAACAAAUAUGUUUUGCAAUACACAUAUAAUUAUUAUUAUGUGGAGGCAAGUUACUAAAGUCGGGAUCUAAAACACUUAUUACAAUUAGAGUUAAUUCUUAUUUAUAAUUUACCUAAAUUAAAGUUAAAAUUUUUUUAUGACUAUAAGAGAGUUAUUUCUAUAUAGAUUAUCACUAUAAAUAUAGAGUAUCACUAUAAAAAGGUUUUACGAUCAAUCAUCCAUCAUAAUAAGCACAAGAAUGACAAGUUUUGAUUCUCAAAUAAAUUCUUAUAAAACACAACCAUGGAUUAAGAUUGUCAGGAAAUGGGAAUGCAAUACAAAGUAAUUAAUGACACAGUCACAGUGUUUCACUUACACGUGAAGCAAACGAAACAAGAAGAAUCUUAAGAAAAAAACACUCACCAGAACGCAAGGUUCAAUCCGGGCUUAGCCCCUCUAACCACAGUUCGUCAAGAGAUUGGAAACAGAGACGAAAAGCAUUUUGAGUGGCUUCAUCCUCCCAUUGAAGCCUUCUCCACCAGUCUUCACCUCCACGAAUAAGAAUUCGGCGCCCCUUUGCACUAUUUGAAUCGAGUGGAAGCUUUUCAAGCGAAUCGCAAUACUCCACUUUCAAUUCUUUCAGACGUGGGAGAGGCAAGGGCUUCCAGUAAAUGCUCUUCAAAUUGCGCAGUCCCCAUAAGUGAAGACGCUGGAGUUUUGCGAAAGGGCAGCUUAUUAUUCCCGUCAUCUCAAGAAUGUCAUCAAACUCUCCAGUACUGAUUAUUUCUUCCAUGUCAUAGCAAUGGUCUACGUAAAUAGACUUGAGGUUUGGAGCAAAAACGAGGAAUGUCAAUUGUUUCAAAUUUCUGCAAUAGCUUACGGUAACUUUCUCAAGGCUGCGGAAAACAUAAGGUUGGCGCGAUUUUUGUACCAUAUCUUUGUAGUCAAUCUUCAGUCCCCCAGGCCAACCACAACGAGAAAAGUAUAAUGUAUUGAGCUGCUCUAGAUCUGCUAAAUCUCCAACAUCAAUCGACUCCUCCCUACCGAACUCAUGGAGAAAAAGAGCUUGAGUACAACUUCGUAACUUCUGUGAGCUCAAAAAUGUUUGGUAAGCCUCAAAACUCCUGAAGGUGAUCUCCAGUACCUCUAAAUAUUUCAAACCGAGCAAUUCCUCUGCUACAUUCUCAUGCCAAGAGCUAAACAGUCCGUAAGGUGAUCUAAUACCAAUACCAAACAUUCUCAACACACGUAACCUUGAAAAAUUAGAUAACAGUUGCUGUGGAACUUCAACUAACUCGUCUGCCCAGUCCAAAUUCAAACAUUUAAGAUUUACCAACGCUUUUAACUCUUCGGGUAACUCUCUAACGCUUGUAUUUGAAAUAUCAAGGUGUUGUAGUGAAACCAACUUUGAGAUCCCCAUUGGUAAUUGCUGUAGCAUUCUAUUAUCUGACAUCUUCAAAACUGUUAGACAAGGCAUAGACUGGAAGAAGUCAUCGGUGAUCGUCGUCCACUCAUUAUCGUUAAGAAACAAAGUAAGAAGAUGAGGGCAUGUAGGAACAGUUGGUAGAUUUUCAAUUGAAUUUGUCAUCAAUGAUAAUCUUCUCACCAUUUCCCAUCCUCUGACAUCUGCAGGUGCCUCCGUUAAUCCGGAACCUGCAUAAACCAAAAAGCCCUCCUUCUCCUUCUCAAUCUCACAAGUUAUCCACAAUGCCAUAUCGCGGAUGACGUCAUGCAUUUUUACUUGAUCAUCUUCUACCUCUUCUAAUAAACAUGCACGAACAAGAGUGGCCACGAUGUAGUAUCCUUGGUUUUGUGUGCCAAGCUUGUCUUCAUCCAAAAACCCCUCGCAAAUCCAGCAAUCAAUCAAGUCUCUUUUAUAUAUACUGUAAUCUUCUGGAUAUAAACAACAAUAUAAGAAACAAGAUCUGAUUGCAUCGUUUGGCAAGCAAUCAUAGCUGAAUUUUAAAAGAGGAUAUACCUCCUUUCCCAAACCUGCAAAUUCGGAAGCUGAUCUUCUUAAAACUUCAAUCGCAUACCUCCAUUCUUCAGGAGUCUUUUUGUAGGCCAUGGCUCGACCAAUAGUAAUAAGCGCGAGCGGCAAUCCAUCGCACUCCUUUGCCACAGUUUGAGCUAGUUCAGGAAUACUAUGAUGACUCUCAAUAGUUUCUUCCCCAACUUUCUCUCGAAAUAGCUCCCAAGCAUCCUCAUCGGAUAAGCAUGCCACUUUGAACAUCCUACGAGCUUCCAUGCGGCCACAAACAUCAACGAAACGGGUUGUAAAUACCACUGCACUAUUUUUUGGGCUGUUACUACGACUAGGAAGAGGGACGCCUACCUUCUUUAAAUCAACCCGCUCCCAUAGAUCAUCCAACAACAAAGCAAACUUCUUCUUGCUUAAAGUCUUGAAGAUGUCCUGAGCUUUCUCUUCGAGUCUUUUGUCCUUCCAUGAAUCAGUAUAUAGACCUAUCUUUUUCCCGAUAGUUUCUUGAAUUUUUUCAAGCUGCAGGUCUUUGGACACCACAACCCAAAUCACAUAAUCAAAAUCUGUUGGAUAAUCAACAAAUUUAUUAUUGAUUUCGUUUAACAGUGUAGUUUUACCGACACCGCCCAUGCCGUAUAGGCCAAUUAUACCAGCUACAUGUUCUUGUACAAGACAUCUCCAAACUUGUUCAAGUUGUGAUUGCAAGCCUACCACCGUUGGCUCAGUAGGUCUUUCAUCUGCCACAGAUAUUAAUUCUGGAUCUGGCGCGGCCACCUCUUCAAAAACUCCUUCCCCCUUUAAGGCCUUCACAUCUCGCAGCAUUUUAGCAACUUUUCUACCAAACUUGUAGCUUGACUUGCAGUUCCUGGAGCAGUAGCCUCCAAGACACAAUUUGUCAAUUUCCUGAGAGCCACCAUCUCUUCCCAUGAGUUCAUCAACUUCAGUUUUAAGAGUCUCCACCCUCGACAGCCAAAGCUGCACUUGGUUCAGCCUCUUCAUUUUGUGUUGGUGUUCAGCAUCGAGGACCCUCGUCAUCACAUCGUUCUCUGCAGCGAUUAGUUGUUCCAAUUCAGUCGUCAAGGCAACAACAUUAUCUUUGAGGUCAGUUAUAUAUGCCGCUUUGCCAAGAGCGCAGUCUAGGCAAAGAUUGAACAUUGCGCCGUCGCAAGAGAAUGAGAUUUGCAAAAUGUUACCCAUAAUGUAUCUCACUUGUAUGUAUGAAUUCAACCAAGAGAGAAACAAAGAAAUGUAACUUAACCAGUUUGAUGAACAGAAGCUGCUGUUGCGGAAUGAGAUAGAACAUUGGUUAUUGAAUAAUGUAAUCACCUCUGUUUGUACCCUACUUACUGUUUGCAUGAGUUAAUGAGCCUGCAAUUGGCCAGGUCCAUAACUGUUUGCAUGCUUCCCACAUCAAGAUGGUGGUAGUGGUACAUCUUUGUGUUUCCUUGACCUUAUCCAAUAUUCAUCAUUUUUGGUCCCACACCAUGUGCUUGACAGUUGUUUCGAUUUUACCUCUUUUUUUUUUUUCUUUUUUUUUCCUUUCUAUCUUUCAGAUCAGCAUUUUUGUCUUGAUUCUUGAAUAGUUGAAUAUGUAUGUGUGGGUGGGUAUAUAUAGUACUUAGAUUUUGUUUAAUUUUCUAUUGCUAACUUGAUUAUUUGUGGCAUUAAUUUAAUAUGAUUUACAUCUUUUUGGUUGUAGUGUUGAUGAGUUGCCUUUAUAUGAUGACCCAAUUUUUUUUUUGGUCUUCAUUUGUUUAAUUAUGAGAAAAAUAAAAUAGUAAUAAGAUUGGUCAUUUUGGCUAAACAAUUAAUGAACUAAUGGAGUAUAUCUCAAUUUGGGUAAACAAUUAAUGAAAUUUGAGGGGUGUGAAAAGCUUAACUCAAUAAGAAAAGCGAUACCUCUUCUAAAAAAAAAAUAAGAAAAGUGAUACGAAAAAUCACUACUCGUUGGAUUAUUUAUAUGGAUGGCCCAUCCCACUGAAGAGUAAAGCGGCUUACGGCCCAAUUUAAUGAGCCCAUUGCCGACUCGUUGCUCUCCCUACGCGCUUUAAAUCUCGUACAAAUCACAGCCAACCAUAUAUUAUAAACGAGGCUCGCGGUUAUUCCAUCGAACAUGGGUCCCAGCAUGCCCCGUCCAUAUCAUAAAUUUCCAAAAUUUGUCUUCAAUCGGUUAAACAUAAGUUUCAAAAUUCUUUCCAAAAAAAAAAAGAAAUUGCCAAUACCAAUCCUUUAAAGUUUAAAACAUCCAAAAGGGGGAAAAAGCUUUUUUUGAGUCGUCCAUAUCAUAAAUUUCGACUAAAGUUGGGACAUGGCAUGUGGUAGACAUGUGGAUUGAUUGCAUAUGUUAUUUGAGUCGUUGUAUCAUCGGCUUCACAUUAUUAAUAAGCUUUUUUUUUCACCCAAAUUCUUCUAAGAAUUAUGAGCAUAUUUUUUAGCAUAAUUGUUGGCUGAUCAGAAACUCUCGAAAGUUCGCCUAUAAUUUAGAUUAAACCAGCAAUUAACAUGAGAAGUUAGGGUGGCAGGCAGGACAAUGGGAACCAACUCAAAUCUGGUUCCAUUAGCAAGCAGCAGCCAAAUUCCAAGAUUCUCAACAAUUUUAGGGACCUGCUCAGGAUGAUAUUCUGAGUCUCAUUUUCAUUUUCAUUUACUGAAAAUAAGUUGAAUAACUGUUCGGUACAAUGUUUUAAUAAAAUGAAUUAUGAAAUAAAAAAUACAGAUUUUACUUUUGUUUACUCAAAAAGUUGAAGAACGACCUUUUUAUGGUUUUGUUGAAUUUCAAGAAUGGAAGCCAUUCUCUCAUCUUUAUCUCAGAUUAGCGUCCAUGGUAAUUAAAAUGGUUUUUGUAUCAAAUUGACAAGGUUGAAACAUCUAAUGCUGCAAUGGGUUUUGUGAUUAUUUUAAAUUUGAAAGUUAAAAUUUGAUAAAACUAAUAAGUUUUAUUGAGCAGAAGAUGAGUGGAAGGACUUUUUCUUUGAUUUUUAGCCGAACAAAAAGAUAAAAUAAAAUGUUCAAGGACUUAUAAAAAAAAUGUCGUCAUAUUUUGCUUGUACCAAUGAAACAGUAGUUGUGAAAAAGGAUUAAGAUAAUAUUUUCAAAUGAGAUUUUUCUCUAUACUUUAUCAUACCUUUUAUUUGAAUAUCUUUUUUCGUAUAUAAGUUUAUGAUUUCAUUUAUCAGAUGCUCUAUAAUAUAUUUCAUUUACUGAAAUUUUUUAUUAUUAAAUGUAAUGAACAAUUGAAUUUUUUUAUAAGUGUUUACUGUGUGAUACCAAAAAAUAAAUUAACUUUAUAUAAUUCAUUGACAUAAAUAUAAACUGUAUGUUUAAGUUAACAAAAAAAAAAGUUUCAAUCCAAUGCUACCGAACAAGUAUUACAGUUUUUAUAUUUAAAAUAUAAGUUUCAAAAACUCAUACUGAACACAUAUUUAUAUUUAGAAUACUGGUUUCAAAAACAUCAUUUUUAUUUUUGUUUUUGUUCUAUAAAAACAUCAAUUGACAAUAAUAAAGACAAAGAAUUGAAAAUUUUAAUAAGAAUUAAUCUAACUACUCUCUUUAAAAGGAAAAAAAGAAAAAAGAAAAUAUCUAACUACACUCACUUUCUAAAAAUAUAAAUACAUAUAAUUACACUAAAACCCCUAUAGAUUUUUAUUUUACCAAACAAUUAUGUGAUUAAUAUUUAUUUAUAAAAUAUAACAAUUAUGUGAUUAAUAUAAUAUUAAUUUUAUAAUCUCAACUCAAUGGUCAUAUCAAGAGCAUAUUUCAUUAUUUUAUUUUUAAUCUACAAUUGAGAUGUCACACCAUGGAGUUAAAGCGGUUGUUAUCAUUUUGUUUUCUGAUUUAAUUUCUAUUUUAAAAAUAAUUUUAGACCCCGUGAGCAUUCAACGAAUGAUUUGCGAGUUUGGAGGAGUCCAUGCAUAUGGGGCCCACUGGUUGUUUGAUGAUUGAUUAUGUCACAUGAUUCCUGCCACAUACGAUUAUUAUCCACCCUUUAUCUCCUUUUUUUUUCUUUAAUAAAUAACCCUCUUUACUCAUUUCACUUCCAAUUUCAUGUUCAUGCCCUUACACUAUUGAUUUAUCUAUUUUUUAUUUCACACAUUUUUUGUUUACUCUUCCUCAUGUUAUUGUCCCUUUCUUUUUCUUUUCUUUUUCCUUAGCAGUAAUGUUCCCAAAUUUAAUCGAGAAACAAAGAUAUAAAUGAUAGAACUUAUUAGUUUGAUAAUUUAUAAACUCGCAAUAAAUGGUACUCAUUUUCAUUCCUAGAUAAAUGCAAUACGACCGUGUACAGAAUACGUCGAGGUUUGGGAAAAACGUGGUCCUCUAGCAUUUUUAUUAAGAUUAGGGAUUUAACUGAAAUUUAAUUCCUUUAAAAUGUGAAGGUUACGUUUUGCACCCUUUGAAUUUACAGUUUCUUAUGUUUGGCAUCUCAAUUUGGCUUCUCUCGAAUAUGGUCCACGUUAAACCAAAAUUAUAAUUGCACCACUAAAUAUGAUAUGACAGUACUGGAAAACUAUUUGAAGUGGAAAGUUAGUGAGUUUCUAUUUUUUUAAGGAUAUAUUUUAAGUAUUAUAGAGAUAAAAAUUAACUAUCUACCUAAGUAACCAAGCGAGCAAUUUAAACUUUAGACCUCUUUUACAUCAACGGGUUAUGUUUGGCAGACUCAAUUUGUCAAUAACUAGAUAUAUGUUAUGACAGACUCAAUUUGGGGCAGAUUCUAGGGUAAGGAAACUAAAAAUGCUUAUUUUCGAAGGUGAGGAUGCCUAUGGAUGGGUGUAUAGGGUAGAGCGCUAUUUCGCCAUCAAUGGACUCUAAGAAAGGGAAAAAUUGAUGGCGGCGGCGUUAUGUUCGGAGGGAAAGGCCCUUGCGCAGUUUCAAUGGCGAGAACAACGAAAACCGUUGAGGUCAUGGGAUGAGUCUAAAGAUCGGCUAUUGGAGAGGUUUCAGGGCACUCAAGACUCAAGAGGGAGAUUUGCAUGAACAAUUUUUUACUUUGACCCAGGAUAGAAUGGUUAUGGAGUAUAAGGAGAAGUUUGAGUUGCUAUCAGGGCGUUUAUGGGGAAUUCCAGAGGCGGUAUUGGAAGGAAAUUUUAUGAAGGGACUGAAGCCAGAAAUCCGAGCCUCGCUACGCUUGCUAAGGCCGAGAGGGUUAAGGGAGUCAAUAAAGUUGGCACAAAUGGUUGAGGAUAAGAACACAAUAGAACGGGUUAAUAGGAGCAAUUCGGUCAAUUUUUCAUACCAAAACAGCACGCCAUUGGUAGGACAGAAAACCCAGACUUUGGGGUUUCAGCGAGAGUUCCAAAGUACACCACUAGGAGGCCAGAAAAUGCAAAUGGUGGAUUUACAGAGAGAUUCCCAAAGGGAUUGGGAUAGUGAGGCACGACUGGGGGUGACUUUCGAACACCUCAUGGAGACAGAGAUUCAGGAUAAAAGGGCGAAGGGGUUGUGUUUUCGAUGUGAUGAGAAAUUUUCACUAGGGCAUCGAUGUAAGGAUAAAUCACUACAAGUCCUGACUGUGUGUGAUGAGGAAGAAGGCUGGAAAGAAGCCGAAGAAGAAGACGCAAUAGUUUCCUAGAUUUCACCUUGAGGACAAGGUGUCUUUUUGGGAGGGGAGUAAUGUUUGACCAAUGAAAAUUUAAGUGCAAUUAUAAAGAGGCAGGGGCACUUUAGUAAUCUUAGGGGCGGGGGCAGUUUAGUAAUUUUAUUAUUAAUUAGGGUUCAGGUAUAAAUAAGAGAUUUUGGAGUCACCUAGAAUUUAUGUUGAGUUUUAUCUAAUGUUAAGAAUAAUUAGGAGUUUUGGGAGAUAUUAACCUACCUCUCGAAUUGUAGGUCAAGAUUAUUAUUUAUUUUUAUCAAUUAAAAAAAAAUCAGCCCUAAUUUACCCCCAAGUCCUGCCAUAAUGGAAUUUGUGUUAUUGACCUCUUCUUUUUUCCCUUUUCCUUCUUCUUGUAACAACUUCUUUAUGAAACAUGUCUUUGCGUCUGGCUCUUGUCUUACUAUGAACCUGCAGUGGAGUACUUGGCAACUACUAGAACCCUGCCACGACUAAUAGAUGUUGUUAAGAGUUCCACAAAGGAGAAGGUGAGAUCUGGAUUCUUGGUAGUAUUUAAUUUUAGCAAAGGCUUACUGCUAGGUUGUCAGGGUGGUGGUCUUGAUCCUUAGGAACUUGCUUCUCAAAGGUAAUUUUGCUGCUCAAAUGAUAGACCUUGGGCUACCUCAAGUUGUUCAAAGUUUAAAAGCACAAGCAUGGAGUGACGAGGUAAAAGAAGUUGCUCGCUGUUUACUUUUUCUUUUUCGGUUGAUUGCAUAAUUAUUUAGUUAAUAGAUCGAGUAAAAUUAAGGGAGUUGAUGGCGCUGUUUGCUACUGAUUGGUGCAUUUGGUGAUCAUUUUAAAUGGAUUAAAAUUUUACUUCGGCUUCUGUUAAGCAUGGUGUUGUAGGAUAUUCAAUUGCUUGUGUGAUGACAAAAACUACUGUUAUUUUUGUUCAUUAUAUGAAUAUUAGUGUUGUUUUGGUGCAUACUUGAUUUUGAUACCAUUAUGCCCUAUUAUUCCUUUGUUCAGCACGGAAUAAUUUUGUUUCCAUCCACACUUUGAUUGAAGCUCUGGCUGGCGAAAGUGCUGACUACUAUUGCACGGACCUACACUAUCUUUGACAAGGUGAGAUUGUAGAAUUGUGGUUUUUUUAUUACCACAUAUUUUCUUUGGCCUUGAACCAUUCAAUUUUGGCAAGGCUUGACUCUUUUUCCUCAUGAUGAACUGAAGUUGUAUACUGCUUAUGUGGAAUCUUGGUAUCCAACACAAAAUUAAGAUUUCAGCCUUCAAACUUAUAAUGCAAGAUAUUAGAUUGAGUUUGGGCGGCUCCUGAAUAGUACCAAAAAGAAUGAGUCUUGACCACCAUUGCUGAAUUUUGUUUAACCUUUAACACAAUGAUGACUUCAUCUUGCUACAUUUACAUAUAAUAGAUUUCAAUAUCUUCUUAGGAUUUACUGGAGUGUCUGAAUCAACUGGAAGAAGGUUUGAAGGAUAAUAUUAAGAGAUUGAGUUCUUUCGACAAGUACAAGCAAGAAGUCUUCCUUGGCCAUCUCAACUGGUCCCCCAUGCACAAAGAUCCCCUAUUCUGGCGUGAUAAUAUCACAAACUUUGAAGAAAAUGAUUUCCAGGUAUUUCUUUUCCCCAUGGACGGUGUUUCUAGUUUUUAUUUUUCAUUUUUCUGCUUUAACUUCACUGAGUGACUUGGCAUCAUUUUGUAUAAAGAAAUACAAAUUUUCUGUAAUACUAACGGAUAAUCUUCUCUCUCAGAUUCUAAGGGUCCUCUUAACAAUUUUGGAUACAUCCAGUGAUCCACGAGCUCUUGCUGUCGCCUGCUUUGAUCUCUCACAGUUUAUCCAGUACCAUCCAGCUGGGCGGGUCAUUGUGACGGACCUCAAAGCCAAGGAACGGGUGAUGAAAUUGAUGAACCAUGUUAGCAUAUGUGAGUAACAGAGCAGGGGAUUCCAGCUCAAGAGCUGACGUGUCAAUAUUUGUUAUACAUGUUGCUUAACGUGUAACAAGCUGAUUUCAGUAGUUGAUAACAGAUUCUAGUAGCUUCAUUAAUUAGUUAGAAAGAUUCGUUUAAGCUCAUAUAUAAACCAACACUUGUAAUCUUUUUCAUCAACUUGAUUGAAUACAAAUUCAUUGAUAUCUGUAUAUUCUUUGUUAUUUUUCUUUCUCUUUCUAUCGUUUUCUUAUCUACCAAACACAUCAACAACAUUUCUAACAUGGUAUCAGAGCCAAUGGCUAACUCAAAUCAAAAUUCUCAUUCCUAUAACUUUGUCACUCCGAUCAAGUUGGAUCACAACAACUUCAUGGUGUGGAGGAAUCAAGUUCUGGCUUCAAUCAAAGGAAACGGUCUGGAAGGUUUCAUCAAUGGAACUAAUCCGUGUCCUGAUCAGUACCUCAAUCAAGUAAGUGAAGCAUCAAGUUCAGCUCAAGGUAAUUCUAGAUCUAGAACUGAAAAUCCUGCGUUUGCUUUGUGGAUUAGAACUGACCAGCUACUGUUAAGCUGGAUGUUCUCGUCUAUUCAAGAAAAUCUACUUACCUCAGUAAUUCAAUGUGUUUCUUCUCAAGAACUUUGGGAAACUCUUACACGCAUGUUCAUCUCUCAAACUCAGGCAAGAAUUGUGCCACUAAAAAUGCAGUUACAGACUUCUAAGAAAGGGUCUAUGUCAAUGAAUGCUUAUUUUUCUAAGAUGAAACGUCUUGCUGAUAGUUUAGCUAUUGCUGGAAAGCCUGUUGAACACAAUGAUAUGAUCUCAUACAUUCUAACUGGUUUAGACUCUCAGGAUUAUGAGUCACUAGUUACUAUUCUGCUUGCUAGAAGUGAUAAUCUGAGUCUAGAUGAAUUAUAUUCCUUGUUAUUGAGUCAUGAAAUGAGGAUUGAGCAAAAGAAAGGGAAGAUCAAUGCUGAUGUAAUUCAUAAUCUCUCUGCUAACAUUGCACAAAAGAAUCAAAAUCUUCCAAGAGGUGGAUCUGGUAAUUUUGGUUUUCCAAGAGGAAAUGGAGGGUUUAACAAUGCUAAUCAAGGAGGAAAUAAUGUCAAUCAUGAGUCAAAUAUAGUGUGCCAAAUUUGUUUCAUUCCAGGUCAUGGUGCUACAAAAUGCAGAAACAGAUUUAAUCCUGCAUUUGUACCACAGAGGAAUUUCGGCAGAGGUAACUUCAGACCUGGUUUUGGAAACUAUGGCAGAGGCUUCACUCCAAAUAAUUUUCCUCCAAGACCUUUUAAUGGUUUUGGAAGAAAUAAUAAUGGUCAAUAUGCUGGAUCACCAAGGGGUUAUGGUUUUCAAAGUGGUUUUCAAGGCCAUGUCACUUAUCCAAAUUCUAAUGUUGCUGGUGCUAACUCUCAAUCUUCCUCAUUUAACUCUCACAACUCUGGUUCUGAUCAUCCAGUAGCUUUUAACUGUUUCAAUGGAACAACUAAUGCUUCUCAGUUUCAGUCAUCAACAAGCUUUCAUACUGAUUCUUCUCCUGAAAUUGUGGAAGAUCCGUCCUGGUACAUAGACAGUGGAGCCUCUACUCACAUCACAGCUGACUCAGGUAAACUCUUUAACAUGCAGCCUUAUUGUGGUACAGAAUCACUUCUGGUUGGAAAUGGAAAUGCAUUAGAAAUUAAACAUAUUGGAUCUACAGUACUUGAUACACUGACAACUGAACCUUUACUCCUAAAAAAUGUCUUACAUGUUCCAAAUAUCACCAAGAAUUUAUUAAGUAUUUCACAACUUUUAGCUGACAACAAUGUUAUUGUUGAAUUUGUUGGAAUUCUUUGUUUCAUUAAGGCCAGGAAAACAGGAACUCUGUUACUUAAGGGAGUAGCUACUGGAGGCUUGUAUCAAAUAGAAGAUUUGUCAAGUGAAGAUUCUCAAGUUUCUUGGUGUCGUAGUCAAAUAAAUAAACCUGUAUCAAUGUUUGCUACUCUCUCUAGUUCAGUCAAUUUCAAUCCCUCUCCUGUCGAGUCAUGUAAUCCAGCAGCUUUAACAAUGUCUGUGUCAUCAGUUGGUGUUGAUUUACUUCACAAGAGACUUGGACAUCCAGCCUCACACACACUUCAAACUGUUAUUAAGACUUGUAAUUUGUUUGCUGGAAUUAAUAAAACUCCAAAAAUUGCCUUCUGUGAUGCAUGUCAGUUUGGCAAAAAUCAUCUUAAACAUUUUGAUUCUGUCAUUACCAAAACAACAGCACCUCUGUAAUUAUUAUAUGCAGAUCUUUGGGGUCCUUCACAUACAACUUCCACUCAAGGCUACAGCUAUUACUUGUCAAUAUUAGAUGAUUACAGUAGGUUCACUUGGAUUUUUCCUUUAAAAGCCAAGUCUGAUUCAUUACAAGUUUUCACUGAUUUCAAAACCUUCAUUGAGAAACAUCUUGAGAGAAGAAUUAAGACUGUCCAAACAGAUUGGGGAGGGGAAUUCAGAUCAUUUUCUUCAUUAUUAACAACCUCUGGUAUCCAUUUCAGACACCCUUGUCCUCACAUUCACCAUCAAAAUGGUAAAAUAGAGAGAAAACAUAGGCACAUUGUUGACAUUGGUCUCACCUUACUAGCUCAAUCAAAUUUGCCACUUACUUUUUGGUGGAAUGCUUUCCACACUGCUGUAUUUCUCAUAAACAGAUUACCAACUCCAGUGUUGAAUAAUGUCUCACCCUAUUUCAAACUCUUUCAUCAAACUCCAGAUUACUCAUUCCUAAGAGUUUUUGGCUGUGCUUGUUACCCUUAUCUUAGACCCUAUAAAAAACAUAAGCUAGAGUUUAGGACUGGUAGAUGCAUCUUCAUUGGAUACAGUCCUAACCAUAAGGGCUAUCAGUGUUUACACUCAUCAGGAAGGGUAUAUAUAUCCAAUCAUGUAGUGUUUAAUGAGAAUUCUUUCCCAUACCAGCCUGGUGUUGAUUUUUCCUCUGUGUCAAUGUCUUGUUCAAGUACAAACAAUCCAGAGUCAACUUCUUCUAUACAAGUUCUUUCAGCACCUCCCUUAACAACAGAGGUUCCUGCUCAAUCUCCACAUUCAUCACAAGAAGUUUCUGGUAAUUUCAACUCACCUUUAUCUCAGCAUUCUUUACCUUCUUAUUCUUCAAAUCAUAAUUCACCAGAUUCUUUACAUUCAAACAUUCCAGUUCCUUUUGUUCCUGCCCAUCAGCUACCCAAUUUUCAGCCACCUGGUCAUAGCAUGAUCACCAGGUCCAAAGCUGGAAUUUUUAAACCAAAAACAUACAUCACUGCACUUUUAGCCCAACCAUCUGAACCCAACUCAGUAAAUCAAGCACUGCAAGAUCCAAAAUGGUUUAAUGCUAUGCAGGAGGAGUUUAAAGCUCUUCAAGCCAAUCAAACUUGGGAUUUAGUUAUUCCUACAGCUGCUGUCAAAGUAGUAGGAAACAAAUGGAUUUUCAGAAUUAAAUACAACUCAGAUGGAUCAAUCUCAAGAUAUAAGGCAAGACUUGUUGCAAAGGGGUUUCAUCAAACAUAUGGGAUCGAUUACAGUGAAACUUUCAGCCCUGUUGUUAAGGCUUCAACAGUGAGAGUGAUAUUGAGUUUAGCUGUGAUGAACAACUGGAUAAUAAGGCAGGUUGAUGUUAAUAAUGCAUUUCUUAAUGGCAUUCUUGUUGAAGAUGUAUACAUGGCUCAACCAGAAGGCUUUGUGGAUCCAGAAAAGCCUCAUCAUGUGUGCAAAUUAAAGAAGGCUCUAUAUGGACUCAAGCAAGCUCCAAGGGCAUGGUUUGACAGGUUCAGAAGAGCUAUGACAUCUCAGUGGCAUUUUGAACAUUCAAAGUCAGAUUCCUCAUUAUUUUACAGAUGGGAUGCAGGUGAUAUUCUACUGGUCUUAGUAUAUGUAGAUGAUAUUAUCAUUACAGGCUCUAAUCAAAAUAGUGUGUUGAAAGUAAUCUCUGAUAUGCAAGCUACUUUUGCUCUUAAAGAUUUAGGAGAGCUUAGCUAUUUUCUUGGUAUAGAGGUUACUAAAAAUUCGACAGGCCUUCAAUUAUCUCAGAGCAAAUACAUAGUUGAUUUGCUGAACAGGCAUGAAAUGGUCACUUGCAGUCCAGUACCAACUCCCAUGGUCACUUCUCAUUCACUUGUUAAGAACUCAGGAGUUAUCAUUCCAAAUGCUUCUCAGUACAGGAGUGUUGUGGGGGCUCUGCAGUAUGUGACUUUGACCAGGCCAGAAUUAGCUUUUUCAGUUAAUAAGUUGAGUCAAUUUCUUUCAGCUCCAACAGAAGAACAUUGGCAAGCAUGUAAGAGGAUACUCAGAUAUUUGAAGGGAACAAUUCACUAUGGCUUACAACUUCAUUCAACUGGAAGUCAGCAUAUGCAAAUAAAUUGUUUCAGUGACUCUGAUUGGGCUUGUGACAGAGAUGAUCGAAAAUCAGUAGCAGGGUAUGCUGUGUUUCUUGGACCUAACCUUGUUUCAUGGUCUUCAAAGAAGCAACAUGUAGUCUCCAGGUCAAGCACAGAGUCAGAAUACAGAGCCUUAGCUCUGGCAACAACUGAAGUUAUGUGGGUAAAAGGGUUACUUACUGAGCUGAAGAUUAAAAUUGAUCACACACCCAUUAUGUGGUGUGACAAUCAGGGAGCAAUAUCUUUGGCUAUGAAUCCAGUGUAUCAUGCCAAAACAAAACACAUUGAGCUAGAUAUACACUUCAUUCGAGAAAAGGUCCAAGCUAAUCAAAUUGAAGUUAACUAUGUGCCUAGUGAAGAUCAAGCUGCAGACAUAUUCACAAAAGCUUUGACCUAUGGACAAUUCAGUUAUCUUAGAAGCAAGCUGAACAUAUUUCCUACACAGUUCAGCUUGAGGGGGGAUGUUAGCAUAUGUGAGUAACAGAGCAGGGGAUUCCAGCUCAAGAGCCGACGUGUCAAUAUUUGUUAUACAUGUUGCUUAACGUGUAACAAGCUGAUUUCAGUAGUUGAUAACAGAUUCUAGUAGCUUCAUUAAUUAGUUAGAAAGAUUCGUUUAAGCUCAUAUAUAAACCAACACUUGUAAUCUUUUUCAUCAACUUGAUUGAAUACAAAUUCAUUGAUAUUAGUAUAUUCUCUGUUAUUUUUCUUUCUCUUUCUAUCGUUUUCUUAUCUACCAAACACAUCAACAACAUUUCUAACAAACCAUGAGAAUACCGAGGUUACCAAGAGCGCCUUACUCUGCAUCCAAAGGCUUUUCCUAGGCGCAAAGUACGCGAGCUUUUUGCAGGCCUGAAAUCUCUUUCCAUGGGGUCCAGUAUUGUUUACAAAGGAAAUGCUUGUAAUGAUUUGAUUCCAGUUUGGCUGUGGUUAGGUUGUUUAUUUAUUUAUCAAUCAUUGGAGGAAUUUAUGAAUCAGGGGAACUCGUCUGUUGAAUUUUUUUAAGUACUGUGAAGAAUUAGUUGAUUUUUUACCAUAUUUUAGAAAUUUAUUUUGUUUUUGAGAUGAGGAAUAAAUUGAUACCAUCUGUACUGACCUUUGAUAUGAAAACUACUCGGGCGCAUGAUAUAUAUCUGUUUUUGUUCAUUUCUGUAUCUUGCUGCUGACUGAAGCUGGAUUUUCAGGCUCGUUAUUAUCAUUUAUUCUUUUGAAGUUGCAAAAUGAAUUCUCAAUAUUUUCAGGGGAAAUGCUUAUAAUUAGCGCGGAAUUAAACAUUGAUUGUGUACUGUAGACUUCCAAAAGGCAAUUUAUUUCCAUUGAUUUGAGUAAACUAAAUCUCCGUGAUGGUAACACUUAUUUAAUCACUUAUUAAAGAAUUCUUUGAAAAUUUGAUGAUUGUUGUUGAAAACAUUUACUAAUUGUAAAUGCGUUAAAAAUUAUUUGAUUCAUUUAGUAUCACUAAUAGUGAUUUAAUUUUUCAUCUUGAUUGAACGAUGAAUUUUGUAUUAAUCCGGAAAAGUGCAACUGUUACUCCAACCACGCGUCGCUUAAAGGUUCGUGUAAUUUGAGACGACUUGUCGUCUAUGUUUUAUUCCGGACCGGUUCACGCAAACUUUAAAGCUUUCGAGUACUCGCGGAGCGGCGAUCGCAAAUCCCUCAAAAGAACACACUCAAGGAAUGGAGACUGAGAAAGUACAGGAGAAGGAGAAGGAGAAGGAGAAGGAGAAAGUGUGCAAGAGGUGUAAGCAAACGUACACAGCUUCAUCAAACAGCUCUUCUUCUAGCCGCUUUCACCCUUCCUUCUUCGUUUGCCGUCGUCACGACGACCAGAAAAGGUACCCACCCCACUCCCUCUUUUGAUCAUCAUUUCGCAUACACUUUUCUUCAAUUUAUUUUUUUAAAAAUUUUUUUCUCAUGUACCCUUGUGAUUCUUUUGCAUUCUUUAUUGGAUGUUAUUAAUUAUUAUUAAAAAAAUUCUAAAAAAUAAAUAAAAUUCACGGCAGCUAGGAGUUGAAUGAAACUCUUGAGUCCAGUCCAGUUUGGUAGGAUUCUUUGAUUUACAAAGCAUCGAGUAAUCAGAUUUGCUGAGCAUUCAUUUUGCUUUGUUAUGUUUCCAUGUAUCAAUUUUCAGUUCAUACCAAAUCUACUUUUUGAGGUUCGUUAUUCAUUUCCUUUAAUUCUUCGUCAUUGGGUUUCUACUGCAUUGUAAUGCUGUACACAAGGUUAGACUCCUUGCAAGGCACUUCUAUUCACUUACUACUUUCAUGUGGGGGGCGGGGGGCGGGGGGAAGUACAUUUAUGGACUCUUUUUGAUAUUGUGGGAUUUGUGUCUGGGUGUGAGUGCACACAUUUUGAUCGGUAGCUAACUAAUGGAUGUCAUUGCUUGCAGUUUAAAAUGUAGAAAAAUAAUUUGUGUCUGAGUGUGAGUGCACAAAUUUUGAUCUGUAACUAAUUAAUGGAUAUCAUUGUUUAAAAUGUGAAAAAUUUAGUUUAUUCUAUGCUAGUUUUUCAUAACAUGAGUUGGACUGAGCUCAGUCAGUUGAUGCUCCAUGUUUUUGAUUCAUUGAAGGUACUAUGAAUUGGGACCUGAUGAUCCGCCAUAUGCUGCCAAGUUUUACGACUGCUGCGGGGCCGAGGAUGCUGAUGCCUCUGGUUGUACCACUGGCUUCCAUGUCUCUUAUGAUGAUGAUUAACAUAAUUUUUACCUCCUAAUCACCUGUAACUAUAGAUUAAAUUUGUAGAUAUCUCCGUGUCUCCUCCUGUGACCCACAUCAUUUCCACUGUUCUACCACUGUAUAAUUCAGGCCUUUCAUCAGUUUAUCUCUUCAUUUCUCAACAUUUUUCUUUUUUUUUUUUCCUGGGGUUGAUCUGGCAUGAAUUCGACAUGUGCUGCUAUGGCCAACUUUCGAGGGAUGAUGGUAAAUCUAAACCCUUUUCCAUAAACUUCUGCAAUUUGAAGAGCUUAUACUGGAAGCCAUUGCCUUCCCACAUCUUAAGUAAAGAGUAAUGCUACUUUGACAGAAAUAGGUUUACAAAAUUUUGACAUACUUAUGAAAUACUAAAUUACCUUUUAGUUUAUUUACAGAUAGCGAAUUGGGCUUUUUACAUAUUUUUGUAAGAAUCAACCUAAACUUAUAUUCAGGAAAGAAAUAACUGCAGAGGAGAAAAAAUUAAUGAGGCGAUAGAAAAUUAUGCCAAAAUUAAUAGUAAGGCAUUUGAGAUUGCAGUAGAACUUCUCAAUAAUCAUAUUAUUAGGAUCAAUUGAUUUUGUUACUAUAAGGAGGUUAAAACUUUGUAGAGGUUUAGUUCAAAAUUACUAUCUUGACUUCAUUAUUCUUAGUGUAAGUAAGAUAAUUAAUAAAUAAUUAAUGAAGUGUGUCAAUUCUAUGAAGCUUCAAACAUGCUUGAAUACUUAAAAAUAUUUUGUCUUCAACAAGAAGGUGUGUAUAUUAUUGAAUUAUUUUUGCAAUAUACAAAUAAUUAUUAUUAUGUGGAGGCAAUUUCAAAGAUGUGAUAACAAUUUUAAAGAAUAAAUCAUUGUCUCAAACAAUUUUAAAAAAUAUUUUUUUCUAUACUAAAUCUUUUAAAGUAACAAAUAUGUUUUGCAAUACACAUAUAAUUAUUAUUAUGUGGAGAUAAGUUACUAAAGUCAGAAUCUAAAACACUUAUUACAAUUAGAGUUAAUUCUUAUUUAUAAUUUACUUAAAUUAAAGUUAAAAUUUUUUUAUCACUAUAAAAGAGUUAUUUCUAUAUAGAUAAUCACUAUAAAUACAGAGUAUCACUAUAAAAAAGUUUUACGAUCAAUCAUCCGUCAUAAUAAGCACAAGAAUGACAAGUUUUGAUUCUCAAAUAAAUUCUUAUAAAACACAACCAUGGAUUAAGAUUGUCGGGAAAUGGGAAUGCAAUACAAAGUAAUUAAUGACACAGUCUCAGUGUUUCACUUACACGUGAAGCAAACGAAACAAGAAGAAUCUUAAGAAAAAAACACUCACCAGAACGCAAGGUUCAAUCCCGGUUUACUACGUCAACCUCCAUUCCUCAAAGAGAUUGGAAACACGUCAACCUUCAUCUCCACCAGUCUCCAUCUCCACGAAUAAGAAUUCUGCGCCCAUUUGCACUAUUUGAAUCGAGUGGAAGCUUUUUAAGCGAAUGGCAACCCCAAACUUCCAAUUCUUUGAGACGUGGGAGAGGCAAGGGCUUCCAGAAAAUGCUCUUCAAAUUGCGCAGUCGCUCUAACCGAAGACGCUGGAGUUUUGCAAAAGGGCUGCUUAUUAUUCCCGUCAUCUCAGGAAUGUCAUCAAACUCUCCAGCACUGAUUAUUUCUUCCAUGUCAUCGCAAAGCCUUACGGAAAUAGACUUGAGGUUUGGAGCAAAAACGAGGAAUGUCAAGUGUUUCAAAUUUCUGCAACUGUCUACGGUAACUUCCUCUAGGCUGCGGAAAACAUAAGGUUGGCGAGAUUUUUGUACCAUAACUUUGCAGUCAAUCUUCAGUCCCCCAGACCAAUCACAAGAACGAAAGUAUAAUGUAUUGAGCUGCUCUAGAUCGGCUAAAUCUGCAACAUCAAUCGACUCCUCCCUAUCGAACUCAUCGAGCAUAAGAGCUUUGGUAGAACUUCGUAACUUCUGUGAGCUCAAAAAUGUUUGGU
rnacentral:lncRNA from 1 species